rnacentral:rRNA from 1 species
CCUACGGGUGGCAGCAGUGGGGAAUAUUGCACAAUGGGCGAAAGCCUGAUGCAGCAACGCCGCGUGAAGGAAGACGGUUUUCUGAUUGUAAACUUCUAUCAAUAGGGAAGAAAGAAAUGACGGGACCUAAAUAUGAAGCCCCGGCUACCUACGUGCCAGCAGCCGCGGUAAUACGUAGGGGGCACGCGUUAUCCGGAAUUACUGGGUGUAAAGGGAGAGUAGGCGGCAAGGUAAGCGAUAUGUGAAAGCCUUAAGCUUAACUAAAGGAUUGCAUAACGAACUAUCUAGCUAGAGUACAGGAAAGGAAAGCGGAAUUCCUAGUGUAGCGGUGAAAUGCGUAGAUAUUAGGAAGAACACCAGUGGCGAAGGCGGCAUUCUGGACUGAAACUGACGCGGAGGCUCGAAAGCGUGGGGAGCGAACAGGAUUAGAUACCCCAGUAGUC